GAAAAAGUGGUCAGCUAUCCACCAAGGUGCAACCACUUCGCGUUUAAAUUAUCGACUGUUUUGUACUAAAGGUUUGAUAUACAUUCACAGGUAGUAGUUCUUUGAUAACGCCUACGCAUGGAUUUAACAAAUCAAAGAUAGGGACAUUUCAACUAUUGAUAGAGCUAUAAAAAAACCCCUUCUAAUGGUUGCGGAACCUCGCAGGGAGGUCCUGUGGAUGGCACUUCUUGAGAAUAAAUUCCUGGAAAAUAAUUUUACCUAAUUUUAUUUUUAUCUAAAUACAUACAUCAUAAAUAAAAGCAUUAUAAUAUUAUGAUUCACUGAUGAUAAAUGUGAAUCUACAUACUAACAUCAAAAGAGACACAUUAUAGCAUAAGACAACAUACACUAUAUAAAUAAAUAUAAUACUAUUGCUGAA